UACGUAGGGUGCAAGCGUUAAUCGGAAUUACUGGGCGUAAAGCGUGCGCAGGCGGUUAUGUAAGACAGAUGUGAAAUCCCCGGGCUCAACCUGGGAACUGCAUUUGUGACUGUAGAGCUGGAGUGCGGCAGAGGGGGAUGGAAUUCCGCGUGUAGCAGUGAAAUGCGUAGAUAUGCGGAGGAACACCGAUGGCGAAGGCAAUCCCCUGGGCCUGCACUGACGCUCAUGCACGAAAGCGUGGGGAGCAAACAGG
rnacentral:rRNA from 1 species